CCUACGGGAGGCAGCAGUGAGGAAUAUUGGUCAAUGGGCGCGAGCCUGAACCAGCCAAGUCGCGUGAGGGAAGACGGCCCUACGGGUUGUAAACCUCUUUUGCCGGGGAGCAACGGGCGCCACGUGUGGCGCCCCUUAGAGUACCCGUAGACAAAGCCUCGGCUAACUCCGUGCCCGCAGACGCGGUAAUACGGAGGAUACGAUCGUUCGCCGGAUGUAUGGGGUUUGAAGGGUGCGUAGGCGGAGCGUUAAGGCAGUGGUAAAAUUGAGCGGCUCAACCACUUCCCGCCAUUGAAACUGGAGCCUUUGAUGGGAAGAGAAGGAUGCGGAAUGCGGGGUGUAGCGGUGAAAUGCAGAGAUAUCACGCAGAACCCGGAUGGCGAAGGCAGCAGGCCGGCUGCAGAUUGACGCGGAAGCACGAAAGCGUGGGGAUCGAACAGGAUUAGAUACCCAGUAGUC
rnacentral:rRNA from 1 species